CCUGGUUGAUCCUGCCAGUAGUCAUACGCUCAUCUCAAAGAUUAAGCCAUGCAUGUCUAAGUAUAAGCAUUUAUACAGCGAAACUGCGAAUGGCUCAUUAUAUCAGUUAUAGUUUAUUUGAUAGUCCCUACUACUUGGAUAACCGUAGUAAUUCUAGAGCUAAUACAUGCACCAAGUCCUGACUGCUUGCGGAAAGGAUGUAUUUAUUAGAUAUAAACCAAUGGCGGGCUUGCCCGUGUGUCGGUGAAUCACAAUAACUUAGCGGAUCGCAGUGACCUUGAGUCGGCGAUGAAUCAUUCAAGUUUCUGCCCUAUCAGCUUUCGAUGGUAGGGUAUUGGCCUACCAUGGCGUUAACGGGUAACGGAGAAUUAGGGUUCGAUUCCGGAGAGGGAGCCUGAGAAACGGCUACCACUUCUACGGAAGGCAGCAGGCGCGUAAAUUACCCAAUCCUGACAUAGGGAGGUAGUGACAAAAAAUAACAAUACGUGACCUAACAGUCGUGUAAUUGGAAUGAGGCAAAUUUAACAUCCUUGCCGAGUAUCAAUUGGAGGGCAAGUCUGGUGCCAGCAGCCGCGGUAAUUCCAGCUCCAAUAGCGUAUAUUAAAGUUGUUGCAGUUAAAAAGCUCGUAGUUGGAUUUCUGAUGAGGAUUGCCGGUCCGGGGCUUUUGGCCCUGUGUACUGGUGUGUUCUUGUCUUCCUUGUGGGGAACUUGUCUGGCAUUGGUUUGUCGGGCUUGGGAGCCACAUCAUUUACUGUGAAAAAAUUAGAGUGUUUAAAGCAGGCAUAUGCCUUGAAUACAUUAGCAUGGAAUAAUAAGAUAGGACUUUGGCCUAUUUUGUUGGUUUGCAAGCCAGAGUAAUGAUUAAUAGGGAUAGUUGGGGGUAUUCGUAUUUAAUUGUCAGAGGUGAAAUUCUUGGAUUUAUGAAAGACGAACAACUGCGAAAGCAUCUACCAAGGAUGUUUUCAUUAAUCAAGAACGAAAGUCAGGGGAUCGAAGAGGAUUAGAUACCCUCGUAGUCUUGACCAUAAACUAUGCCGACUCGGGAUUAGCAGAUGUUGAAUUUGAUUGACUCUGUUAGCACCGUAUGAAAAAUCAAAGUCUUUGGGUUCCGGGGGGAGUAUGGUCGCAAGGCUGAAAC
rnacentral:rRNA from 1 species